GUGGGGAAUAUUGGACAAUGGGGGGAACCCUGAUCCAGCCAUGCCGCGUGUGUGAAGAAGGCCUUUUGGUUGUAAAGCACUUUAAGCGAGGAGGAGGCUACCGAGAUUAAUACUCUUGGAUAGUGGACGUUACUCGCAGAAUAAGCACCGGCUAACUCUGUGCCAGCAGCCGCGGUAAUACAGAGGGUGCAAGCGUUAAUCGGAUUUACUGGGCGUAAAGCGCGCGUAGGUGGCCAAUUAAGUCAAAUGUGAAAUCCCCGCGCUUAACUUGCGAAGUGCAUUCGAUACUGGUUGGCUAGAGGAUGGGAGAGGAUGGUAGAAUUCCAGGUGUAGCGGUGAAAUGCGUAGAGAUCUGGAGGAAUACCGAUGGCGAAGGCAGCCAUCUGGCCUAAUACUGACACUGAGGUGCGAAAGCAUGGGGAGCAAACAGGAUUAGAUACCCCGGUAGUCC
rnacentral:rRNA from 1 species